rnacentral:misc_RNA from 1 species
GAUGAAGAACGUAGCGAAAUGCGAUAAGUAAUGCGAAUUGCAGAAUUCAGUGAAUCAUCGAAUCUUUGAACGCACAUUGCGCCCCCUGGUAUUCCGGGGGGCAUGCCUGUUCGAGCGUCAUUUCACCACUCAAGCCUCGCUUGGUAUUGGGCAACGCGGUCCGCCGCGUGCCUCAAAUCGACCGGCUGGGUCUUCUGUCCCCUAAGCGUUGUGGAAACUAUUCGCUAAAGGGUGCUCGGGAGGCUACGCCGUAAAACAAACCCAUUUCUAAGGUUGACCUCGGAUCAGGUAGGGAUACCCGCUGAACUUAAGCAUAUCAAUAAGCGGAGGA